UGCUGGUCUCACUGGAGGUCAUACUGGAACCAAUAUUGGCAGGUGUGCUGGUCUCACCAGAGGUCACGCUGGAUCCAGUAUUGAAGGCUGUACUGGUCCCCCCAGGGGUUGUGCUGGAUCCAGUGUUGGAGGUUGCGCUGCUCCCUCCAGAGGUCAGGCUGGAUCCAGUAUUGGAGGUUGUGCUGGAUCCACUGGAGGUCACUUGGGAUCCAGAGUUGGUGGCUGUGCUGGUACCACCAUAGGUCGUGCUGGCUAUAGUGUUGGAGGCUGUCCUAGUCGCACUGGAGGUUGUGCUGGAUCCAGUGUUGACAGGUGUGCUGGUCCCUCCAGAGGUCAGACUAGAUCCAGUAUUGGAGGUUGUGCUGGUCCCUCCAGAGGUCAGGCUGGAUCCAGUAUUGGAGGCUGUGCUGGUCCCCCCAGAGGUUGCGCUGGAUCCAGUGUUGACAGGUGUGCUGGUUCCUCCAGAGGUCAUGCUGGUUUCAGUAUUGGAGGUUGUGCUGGAUCCACUGGAGGUCACUUGGGAUCCAGAGUUGGUGGCUGUGCUGGUACCACCAUAGGUCGUGCUGGCUAUA